UGGGGAAUAUUGCACAAUGGGCGAAAGCCUGAUGCAGCGACGCCGCGUGAGGGAUGACGGCCUUCGGGUUGUAAACCUCUUUCAGUAGGGACGAAGCGCAAGUGACGGUACCUACAGAAGAAGCACCGGCCAACUACGUGCCAGCAGCCGCGGUAAUACGUAGGGUGCGAGCGUUGUCCGGAUUCACUGGGCGUAAAGAGCUCGUAGGCGGUUUGUCACGUCGUCUGUGAAAACCCGAGGCUUGACCUCGGGCCUGCAGGCGAUACGGGCAGACUUGAGUACUGUAGGGGAGACUGGAAUUCCUGGUGUAGCGGUGGAAUGCGCAGAUAUCAGGAGGAACACCGGUUGCGAAGGCGGGUCUCUGGGCAGUAACUGACGCUGAGGAGCGAAAGCGUGGGUAGCGAACAGG
rnacentral:rRNA from 1 species